AGAACCUUACCAGGUCUUGACAUCUUUUGAUCACCGGAGAGAUCAGGUUUCCCCUUCGGGGGCAAAAUGACAGGUGGUGCAUGGUUGUCGUCAGCUCGUGUCGUGAGAUGUUGGGUUAAGUCCCGCAACGAGCGCAACCCUUAUGACUAGUUGCCAGCAUUUAGUUGGGCACUCUAGUAAGACUGCCGGUGACAAACUGGAGGAAGGUGGGGAUGACGUCAAAUCAUCAUGCCCCUUAUGACCUGGGCUACACACGUGCUACAAAGGAUGGUACAACGAGUUGCGAGACCGCGAGGUCAAGCUAAUCUCUUAAAGCCAUUCUCAGUUCGGACUGUAGGUUGCAACUCGCCUACACGAAGUCGGAAUCGCUAGUAAUCGCGGAUCAGCACGCCGCGGUGAAUACGUUCCCGGGUCUUGUACACACCGCCU
rnacentral:rRNA from 1 species